CCUACGGGUGGCAGCAGUCGAGAAUCAUUCACAAUGGGGGAAACCCUGAUGGGGCGACGCCGCGUGGGGGAAUGAAGGUCUGCGGAUUGUAAACCCCGGUCAUGUGGGAGCAAAUUAAAAAGAUAGUACCACAAGAGGAAGAGACGGCUAACGCUGCGCAAGCAGCCGCGGUAAUACAGAGGUCUCAAGCGUUGUUCGGAAUCAUUGGGCGGAACGCGUGCGUAUGAUGUUUCGUAAGUCGUGUGUGAAAGGCGCGGGCUCAACCCGCGGACGGCACAUGAUACUGCGAGCCUAGGGUACUGGAGCGGGAACCGGAAUUCUCGGUGUCGCCGU
rnacentral:rRNA from 1 species